UUUUUUUCCCAACAAAACAAAGAGACAACGAAGAGGCCGGACAACACCUUGGUCCUUUAUUUUGUGCACAGUGACGAUUCACUGAGAGGAAAUCAGCGGGCAGAGAUGACCUACAUGGUGAGUGAAGAAGAAGGAAAACGGCGGCACAGCGCAGCAGAUGACACAACAUAACACAAGACGGGCCGAUAAGAGAUCUCCUCAUCCUGCCGACGGGCCGCCUUUGGCGCAGCCUGCGCGCUAAUCGACGUUAGCCCUCUGCUGUUAUGUUACUGUUCCAUCAGCUGUUUUCGUACGUGUUUGUCGGCGAUGGGUUUGGUCACGAGGGAGACGCCAAGGAUGACGAUGCAGGAGACC